CCUACGGGCGGCAGCAGUGAGGAAUAUUUGUCAAUGGACGAGAGUCUGAACCAGCCAAGUAGCGUGAAGGAUGACUGCCCUAUGGGUUGUAGACUUCUUUUAUAUGGGAAUAAAACAGGGUAUGCAUACCCUCUUGUAUGUACCAUAUGAAUAAGGAUCGGCUAACGCCGUGCCAGCAGCCGCGGUAAUACGGAGGAUCCGAGCGUUAUCCGGGUUUAUUGGGUUUACAGGGAGCGUAGGUGGUUUGUUAAGUCAGUUGUGAAAGUUUGCGGCUCAACCGUAAUAUUGCAGUUGAAACUGGCAGUCUUGAGUACAGUAGAGGUGGGCGGAAUUCGUGGUGUAGCGGUGAAAUGCAUAGAUAUCACGAAGAACUCCGAUUGCGAAGGCAGCUUACUGGACUGCAACUGACACUGAUGCUCGAAAGUGUGGGUAUCAAACAGGAUUAGAUACCCGAGUAGUC
rnacentral:rRNA from 1 species